rnacentral:rRNA from 1 species
UACAGAGGUGGCAAACGUUGUCCGGAUUUAUUGGGUGUAAAGGGCAUGUAGGUGGUUUUGUAAGUCAAAGGUGAAAUGGCCCGGCUCAACCAGGUCAUUGCCUUUGAAACUGCAGAGCUUGAGUACGGAAGAGGAAAGCGGAAUUCCCAGUGUAGCGGUGAAAUGCGUAGAUAUUGGGAGGAACACCGGUGGCGAAGGCGGCUUUCUGGUCCGAAACUGACACUGAGAUGCGAAAGCCAGGGGAGCAAACGGG